rnacentral:tRNA from 1 species
GCGAGUAUAGUUAAAUUGGUAUAGCCUCUUCCUUCCAAGAAGAUAUCAUCAGUUCGAAUCUGAUUACUCGUA